GUAGUGUUGAUGUUCUAACGUCGACCCCUAAUCGGGGUUGCGGACAGUGCCUGGUGGGUAGUUUGACUGGGGCGGUCUCCUCCCAAAGAGUAACGGAGGAGCACGAAGGUGGGCUAAUCACGGUUGGACAUCGUGAGGUUAGUGCAAUGGCAUAAGCCCGCUUGACUGCGAGAAUGACAAUUCGAGCAGGUGCGAAAGCAGGUCAUAGUGAUCCGGUGGUUCUGAAUGGAAGGGCCAUCGCUCAACGGAUAAAAGGUACUCCGGGGAUAACAGGCUGAUACCGCCCAAGAGUUCAUAUCGACGGCGGUGUUUGGCACCUCGAUGUCGGCUCAUCACAUCCUGGGGCUGAAGUCGGUCCCAAGGGUAUGGCUGUUCGCCAUUUAAAGUGGUACGCGAGCUGGGUUUAGAACGUCGUGAGACAGUUCGGUCCCUAUCUGCCGUGGGCGUUGGAAGAUUGAAGGGGGCUGCUCCUAGUACGAGAGGACCGGAGUGGACGAACCUCUGGUGUUCGGGUUGUGUCGCCAGACGCAUUGCCCGGUAGCUAAGUUCGGAAUCGAUAACCGCUGAAAGCAUCUAAGCGGGAAGCGAGCCCUGAGAUGAGUCUUCCCUGAUACUUUAAGUAUCCUAAAGGGUUGUCGGAGACUACGACGUUGAUAGGUCAGGUGUGUAAGUGCUGUGAGGCAUUGAGCUAACUGAUACUAAUUGCCCGUGAGGCUUAACCAUACAACAC
rnacentral:rRNA from 1 species